rfam:Myotis lucifugus cont2.42477, whole genome shotgun sequence.
GGCGGUUCUCAGGUGAUGCACCCCGGAACCAGAGAGGAGGGAGCCCGAUUCCAGGGUGUGUCACCUGAGAACCAUC